UUUCAGUGAAGCCAGAGACGAUGGAAAAGUCCACUAACUCUUCAGCAUAUGAACUGACAUAUGAUUAUUAUUAUGAUUACCUGGAUCCUGUGGCUGUGGAUGCAAGUAAACUUAAAUACAAUAGAUGGACCAAGCAUCUCCCAAGGCAUCAGAGAAGCAGGAGAAAGCCAAGAAGAGAAAGAAGCUCUUCAUCUAAACCUGUGGUGUGAUUAAUGGACUGUUCUAUUUUAUGCCGCUUUUAUUUUCUCUUCAGACACAAACAAAUCUUUCUCUUCAUUUUGUCUGUGGGCAUUUAGCACAUGUGAAGCUUUGUAUUAAUAUUCAUCAGUCUGCCCUGCAUGUAUCUCAUGACUUGUUUAUGCUAAAUAAAGCCGGAACUAUAUUUCAUUUACAUACCUGGGAAAUACAAAUAAAAAGUUAAAUAGUUUAAAUAAGCAUAUAUGUCUGUUCAAAUCAUAUCCAAGAAAAGAAUCAUACAUAAGCUAUACUUCUGAGUGUACUCAUUUCUCUGUAUCAUGUGGCAGAAACAUUAUUUUAUGUACAAUAACUUGCGUAUGGCCACAGUACAUCAAUUAACAUGUAACAUAUGAUGGGUUAUGUUCAAGCUGUGCAAAAGACAACUAAAGCUAGCUAA